CACCGCAGCCCAAAUUAAUCUUCCCCUUCCCCCUUCUCUUUCAAAAUCCCCCCCUGCAAACCCUAACCCUCUCUCGCUCGUGCCUCGCUGUGAUCUCUCUCGCUCGCUCUCACCGCUGUGUCCCUGCCUCUCUCGCCAUUGCUCACCCUUGAAGAAAACUUUCUUCUCUUAUCUUCCCAGAUUAAUACACUUGAAGAAAACGCCAUCCGUUACCACUAUUAGCUCGUUCCCAAAUUUUCUUCCUUCUCUUCGGCACUUGAAUCAAAACAAGAGAGAGAGAGGGCGGGAGAAGCCGACGCCGGCUGCAGCUAGUCGCCGCAAUUCAUCGGAUUCCGCAUUUGGGAUGGACAUGUUUAAAAGGAUGCUUCAGACUGGAUAUCCGACCAUGCUUAGCUGAUAUAUGAAGCGCCUCACUCUGAGCUGCCAUUAGACCCCUCAUGCAUGGGUAAAAAUUGGUCUCUCUUUUAUGUUAAUGUUGAUAUUUAAGUGUGUAUAUACUAUAGUAUGCUUUAUAACCCUGAAUAGAGAGCUGUUGAGAUGAGCAAAGUUGAUCUAUCUGUAAAGAAAGGGUUGGUGUGUACAUAUUAUUAUUAUUAAAUUCCUCUAUGUUCUGCC